rnacentral:rRNA from 1 species
ACGGGUGAGUAACGCGUAAGUGAUCUACCCCUGUAUUUGGGAUAACUAUGGGAAACUGUAGCUAAUACCGGAUACGUUCAUGUUCUUGCGAGUAUAUGAAGAAAGAUGGCCUCUGAUUCAAGCUAUUGUACAGGGAGGAGCUUGCGUACCAUUAGCUAGUUGGUAGGGUAAUGGCCUACCAAGGCGACGAUGGUUAGCGGGUCUGAGAGGAUGAUCCGCCACACUGGAACUGAAACACGGACCAGACUCC